rnacentral:rRNA from 1 species
AAUUGGAGGGCAAGUCUGGUGCCAGCAGCCGCGGUAAUUCCAGCUCCAAUAGCGUAUAUUAAAGUUGUUGCAGUUAAAAAGCUCGUAGUUGAAUUUCGGGAUCAAUAUUUCGGUCAUGCCGUUGGUAUGCACUGUUAUCAUUGAUUUCUCACCUUCUAAAGAACCGUAAUGCCAUUAAUUUGGUGUUACGGGGAAUUAGGACUGUUACCUUGAAAAAAUUAGAGUGUUUAAAGCAGGCUCACGCUUGAAUACAUUAGCAUGGAAUAAUGAAAUAGGACAUCCGAUUCUAUUUUGUUGGUUUCUAGGAUCGAUGUAAUGAUUAAUAGGGAUAGUUGGGGGCAUUAGUAUUCAAUUGUCAGAGGUGAAAUUCUUGAAUUUAUUGAAGACUAACUACUGCGAGAGCAUUUGCCAAGGAUGUUUUCAUUAAUCAAGAACGGAAGUUAGGGGAUCGAAGACGAUCAGAUACCGUCGUAGUCUUAACCAUAAACUAUGCCGACUAGGGAUCGGAUGAUGUUAAUUUUUUAAUGACUCAUUCGGCGCCUUACGGGAAACCAAAGUGU